AGCGAACGCUGGCGGCAGGCCUAACACAUGCAAGUCGAACGAACUCUUCGGAGUUAGUGGCGGACGGGUGAGUAACACGUGGGAACGUGCCUUUUGGUUCGGAAUAACUCAGGGAAACUUGUGCUAAUACCGAAUGUGCCCUUCGGGGGAAAGAUUUAUCGCCAUUAGAGCGGCCCGCGUCUGAUUAGUUAGUUGGUGAGGUAACGGCGCACCAAGGCGACGAUCAGUAGCUGGUCUGAGAGGAUGACCAGCCACACUGGGACUGAGACACGGCCCAGACUCCUACGGGAGGCAGCAGUGGGGAAUCUUGCGCAAUGGGCGAAAGCCUGACGCAGCCAUGCCGCGUGAAUGAUGAAGGUCUUAGGAUUGUAAAAUUCUUUCACCGGGGACGAUAAUGACGGUACCCGGAGAAGAAGCCCCGGCUAACUUCGUG
rnacentral:rRNA from 1 species